UGGCCUUCGGGUCACCUAGCCAACUGACGUUGUUAGUGAAGUUAUUCUUCACGAAUUAAAGCCAGCAGAAUCUUUCUACUGGCUAUUUUUUU
rnacentral:sRNA from 1 species